CCCCUUUCAGGAUCAUACCUGGAGAUUUUCCAGGGCUCAACCAGUCUCAGUUAUGGGAGGGAGAGUCAAGCAGAGACAUACCCAUUCCAUUCCUAGCUUGGGCAGUGGCUAGCAAAUGGAAGGUAAUCUGCUACAAGU